CAACUCGAGUGCAUGAAGCUGGAAUCGCUAGUAAUCGCGGAUCAGAAUGCCGCGGUGAAUACGUUCCCGGGUCUUGUACACACCGCCCGUCACACCAUGGGAGUCGGGAAUGCCCGAAGCCGGUGGCCCAAUCUUUAAGAAGGGAGCCGUCGAAGGCAGGCCGGAUGACUGGGGUGAAGUCGUAACAAGGUACC
rnacentral:rRNA from 1 species